CAUACGUGCUGCGUGGUGCCGCUAUUGCCACCAACGGCCAAUGACGCUAUUUACAUCGGCCAUCGGCUACAUCUGUUCGGUAGUUCAGUGAUAGUGGUUGCAAGCGUUCCAAGUUGCAAUAAUUUCCGUGUUGGAUUGAAUGUUGUAAGGAGAUAUCGCCUAUGAUAAAAAGCGAAAAUGAGUAAUAUAUUCGGUAUCGAGGACGAUCAAUAUGAUGAGGAAGAUGCGGACGAAAUUUCGUCGAAACUCUGGCAAGAGGCUUGCUGGAUUCUUAUCAACGCAUAUUUUGACGAGAAAGGUCUUGUACGACAGCAGCUGGAUAGCUUUGAUGAAUUCAUUGAGAUGUCCGUUCAGCGUAUUGUGGAGGAUUCACCUCAAAUUGAGCUACAGGCGGAGGCACAGCACACCACAGGCGAGAUAGAGAAGCCCGUGAAACAUUUGUUGAAAUUUGAACAGAUUUAUCUAUCGAAACCGACUCAUUGGGAGAAAGAUGGCGCACCGUCUCCCAUGAUGCCCAAUGAAGCUAGAUUGAGAAAUUUAACGUAUUCCGCGCCGUUGUAUGUAGAUAUCACUAAGACGAUUGAAAAGGAUGGUGAGGACCCUGUUGAAACGCAACAUCAAAAAACAUUUAUUGGCAAGAUACCGAUCAUGUUGAGAUCUAAAUAUUGCUUGCUCGCCGGCUUAUCUGACCGCGACUUAACGGAGCUGAAUGAAUGUCCGUUGGAUCCUGGUGGAUAUUUUAUUAUUAAUGGCUCGGAGAAAGUUCUCAUAGCACAGGAGAAAAUGGCGACGAACACCGUUUACGUAUUUAGCAUGAAAGAUGGUAAGUAUGCCUACAAGGCAGAGAUUCGGUCCUGCUUGGAACACAGUUCGCGCCCGACCUCGACUUUGUGGAUCAACAUGAUGGCUAAAAGCGGCGCCAGUAUUAAGAAGUCUGCCAUAGGUCAACGUAUCAUUGCCAUUAUUCCCUAUAUCAAGCAGGAGAUUCCCAUAAUGGUGGUUUUUCGAGCACUCGGAUUUGUGGCCGAUCGCGACAUACUCGAGCACAUUAUCUAUGACUUUGACGAUCCCGAGAUGAUGGAGAUGGUGAAGCCAUCCCUGGACGAAGCUUUUGUCAUACAGGAGCAGAAUGUCGCUUUGAAUUUUAUUGGUUCUAGAGGCGCCAAGCCAGGCGUGACUAAGGAGAAGCGGAUCAAAUACGCCCGAGAAAUUUUACAAAAGGAAAUGCUGCCGCACGUUGGCAUAAGCGACUUCUGCGAGACCAAAAAGGCUUAUUUUCUCGGCUACAUGGUUCACCGACUAUUAUCGGCGUCUUUGGGAAGAAGGGAAUUAGACGAUCGCGAUCAUUACGGCAAUAAGAGAUUGGAUUUAGCCGGACCUCUGCUGGCGUUUUUGUUCCGAGGCUUGUUUAAGAAUUUGAUGAAAGAGGUGCGUUUGUACGCACAGAAGUUUAUAGAUCGGGGGAAAGAUUUCAAUCUCGAACUGGCGAUUAAAACGAAAAUCAUUACGGACGGUCUGAGGUAUUCGCUCGCCACGGGCAACUGGGGUGAUCAAAAGAAGGCGCACCAAGCGAGAGCGGGUGUAUCUCAAGUAUUGAAUAGACUAACCUUCGCAUCGACGUUGUCGCAUCUGAGACGAGUGAACUCUCCCAUUGGAAGGGAUGGUAAACUCGCCAAACCGCGUCAACUCCACAACACAUUGUGGGGUAUGCUUUGCCCUGCGGAAACUCCGGAAGGCGCCGCUGUUGGACUGGUGAAAAAUCUUGCUCUAAUGGCGUACAUAAGCGUUGGCUCGCAGCCCUCUCCCAUCUUGGAGUUCUUGGAGGAAUGGUCCAUGGAAAAUCUUGAGGAAAUAGCUCCAAGUGCGAUCGCUGACGCAACGAAAAUAUUCGUGAAUGGCUGCUGGGUUGGCAUCCACCGGGAUCCAGAUCAAUUGAUGGCCACUCUACGUAAGUUAAGGAGGCAGAUGGAUAUCAUUGUAUCAGAGGUGUCAAUGGUUCGCGAUAUUAGAGACCGUGAGAUAAGGAUAUACACAGAUGCCGGCAGAAUUAGCAGACCCUUGCUAAUAGUUGAGGGUCAAAAUUUAUUAUUGAAGAAAAGACAUAUCAACAUGUUGAAGGAAAGAGAUUACAAUAACGACGGGUGGCAAGAAUUGGUGGGUAGUGGAGUAGUGGAAUACAUAGACACCUUAGAAGAAGAAACUGUUAUGAUAGCUAUGUCGCCCGAUGAUCUUAGACAAGAGAAAGAGUACGCAUAUUGUACGACGUACACGCACUGCGAGAUUCAUCCAGCGAUGAUCUUGGGCGUGUGUGCCUCCAUUAUACCAUUCCCCGAUCAUAAUCAGAGUCCCAGAAAUACUUAUCAGAGUGCUAUGGGUAAACAAGCUAUGGGUGUGUACAUUACAAAUUUUCACGUGCGAAUGGACACUUUGGCUCAUGUACUGUAUUAUCCACAUAAACCAUUGGUUACAACGAGAUCCAUGGAAUAUCUUAGGUUCCGCGAAUUGCCGGCCGGCAUUAACAGCAUCGUUGCGAUCCUAUGUUACACAGGAUACAAUCAGGAGGAUAGCGUUAUUUUGAACGCAAGCGCUGUCGAAAGAGGCUUCUUCAGAUCGGUAUUUUAUCGCUCCUACAAAGAGUCCGAGUCAAAGAAGAUCGGCGAUCAAGAGGAACAGUUCGAGAAACCCUCACGCCUAACUUGUCAAGGAAUGCGCAACGCUAUAUAUGACAAGUUGGACGAUGACGGAAUCAUUGCGCCUGGAAUUCGAGUGUCGGGCGACGACGUAAUUAUAGGAAAAACGAUCACUUUGCCGGAAACGGAUGACGAAUUGGAUAGUACAACGAAACGUUUCACAAAACGUGACGCAUCGACCUUUUUGAGGAAUAGUGAAACCGGUAUAGUCGAUCAAGUGAUGCUAACUUUGAACAGUGAAGGAUAUAAAUUCUGCAAAAUUCGAGUGCGCAGUGUACGCAUUCCACAAAUCGGUGAUAAAUUUGCAUCUCGUCACGGACAAAAGGGUACAUGUGGAAUUCAGUAUAGGCAAGAAGAUAUGCCAUUCUCCUGCGAGGGUCUUACACCCGAUAUUAUUAUCAAUCCUCAUGCUAUCCCUUCUCGUAUGACUAUUGGUCACUUGAUAGAAUGCAUCCAAGGGAAAGUUUCCGCCAAUAAAGGAGAGAUUGGUGACGCUACUCCAUUUAACGAUGCUGUAAACGUGCAAAAGAUUUCCACGCUUUUGCUAGAAUACGGUUACCAGUUGCGAGGAAAUGAAGUAAUGUACAAUGGACACACAGGCCGUAAGAUUAAUGCGCAAGUCUUUUUGGGACCAACGUAUUACCAACGCUUGAAGCAUAUGGUAGACGAUAAGAUUCACAGUAGAGCAAGAGGACCUGUGCAAAUUUUAGUUAGACAACCAAUGGAAGGUCGAGCGAGUGGUUGAGGGAGUUUCGUCGUCUGCCCACGGGGGUAGGGCUGCAUCUUCGCCCUUACUCCCCUGAGGAGGAGGUGGACGAGCCUCCUGUCCAAGUGGUGCGUCCCUCCAUCAGAGAGCUCCCUCGGAUUAUUGUGGUGCCUGACACGGUGCCCUCUUCCAAUCGUCCGUCGCCUUUGCUUUGGGCCCCGAGGGUCGAGGUCCGUAUUCCUCGCCUUCUAAUGGUUGAGGUAAAUACUACCACUGGCCAGCGAGUGGUGCGGUCUAGGACACUCCUUUGAUGUUCUUGAGGGACGGUGGACUCCGUUUCGGAGAAAUGGAACGAGAUUGUCAAAUUUCUCACGGCGCGGCACAAUUUUUGCGAGAACGUCUGUUUGAAGUAUCAGAUCCAUAUAGAAUUCACAUAUGCAACUUCUGUGGUUUAAUCGCAAUAGCGAAUUUACGGAACAAUACUUUUGAGUGCAAAGGGUGUAAGAAUAAGACACAAAUUUCGCAAGUUAGACUACCGUAUGCGGCAA